AAGUCGUAACAAGGUUUCCGUAGGUGAACCUGCGGAAGGAUCAUUAACACAAAAUCUUUUAAGUUUGUUCUCUUUCUUUCGAUUGAGGGCUUACUUAAAAAACCCCACCAAACCGCGAUCUCUUUAUCGUAUCUCUCUUAAUUGAUUAAGGUGACUCUUUGAUGGAGUAGACAAUCGUAAGAUUGGAUCAUUGAGUUGUUUUACAUGCCUGAUUGAUUAAGAUUUGUCUAGACUACUCUGGGCUGUGUAAAAAGCAGCUCACCAUUUUAUUUAACCCCUUUCACCCCAAUUCUAGUUUAUAUCAGUCUAAACAUGUUCAUGAGUCAGAAAUGUCUCCUCUGAACGCCAAUUAUUCAACGCUGUACAACUCUUAGCAAUGGAUAUCUUGGCUCUG
rnacentral:misc_RNA from 1 species